UACGUAGGGUCCGAGCGUUGUCCGGAAUUACUGGGCGUAAAGAGCUCGUAGGUGGUUUGUCGCGUUGUUCGUGAAAACUCACAGCUUAACUGUGGGCGUGCGGGCGAUACGGGCAGACUUGAGUACUGCAGGGGAGACUGGAAUUCCUGGUGUAGCGGUGGAAUGCGCAGAGUAUCAGGAGGAACACCGGUGGCGAAGGCGGGUCUCGUGGGCAGUGAACUGACGCUGGAGGAGCGAAAGCGUGGGAGCGAACAGG
rnacentral:rRNA from 1 species